rnacentral:lncRNA from 1 species
UAUACAUUAAAUCUUCUCUAGAUUACUUAUAACUAACACAGUAUAAAUGCUGUAUAAAUAGUAUUUUUUAAAUGUGUAUUACUUUCUGUUGUUAUAUUGUUAUUUUUUAUUGUUUGGGUUUUUUUCUGGAACUUUUCAAUCUGUGGUUGUUGGAAUCUGGGGAUGUAGGACCUGCAAGUACAGAAGGCCAACUGCAUUUGCUAACAAUUCCUGAGUUCUUUGUGUCCCAACAUCCUAAGCAAUCUACUAGGUUCAAAUCUACUUUCAGACCCACAUUACUGUGUGCUGGUCAUUAGGAGAGAAAUUCAUGAUCUUCAAUAUAUUUAGAAUCCAAGUCUUGACCUAAGUAUGCAGGUCUGUAUGAGCCUAUCCACUACCAAUUCUACUGCUACCAUGAUCUAUUCCUGCAUAACGAACUAUCCUAAAACUUGAUGGCGCAAAACAAUGACAAUCAUUUCUUAUGCCCUUGAAAGUGCAAUUUGGACCAGGCUUAGCAGGGAAGGAUUAUCUCUGCUCCACAUAGUGUCAACUGGGGCAGUUCAGCUGUGGCUGGGAGGAUUUGCUUCCAAGAUGGCUCUCUCAAUGUGACUGGCAAGGUGGUGCUGGCUGCAAGCACAGCCAGGGGUCAGAGCAAUGGCCUUCAUUCCUUUCCAUGCAGACUUCUCUAUAAGGUCCAGGCUUUCUCACAGGACAGUGGCUGGAUUCUAAAGACUAACAUUCCCAGAAAGCGAGCCAGGCAGAAGUGGUAUCAUCUUUUAUGACCUAAUAGUGUACAGCAAAAAUGUCACAUAGUAUCAUUUCUGCUUUACACAGUUAGUCAAGGCAGUUUCAAAUGUCUGCCCAAGUUGAUUCCACCUUUUGUUGAGUUCAGAAGAGCACAGGAAAUGCUGCAGUCACAGACAUUUUUAGCAAACAGUCUCCCACAUCCUCCUUCCCAGACUUCCCCAUCUCCACGCCUCUCUGACCACUUUUGCAGCAGAACCACUAUUUUCUAGGUUAGCAGUUCUCAACUGUGGGUGAGUUUGCCCCUUGGAGACAUUUGUUGAUGUCUGGAGACAUUUUUUUUUUUUGUCAUCACAACUAGGUGCAUGCUGUUGACAUCCAGUGGCCCUGCUGGAAUUCAUUAACCUAGUUUCAGGCUCUGUAUGUUGGGACUGAUGAAGCAAUCCUGAAGAUGGUUCCUCUGGCAUCUCAGCUUCACAAAUUAUGCACACUCAUUUGAGAUACUGAUUCCUGAGGCCUGCCCAGGCUCCCCGGUGCCACGGUGUGUCUUCCUGUGGAGGAAAUGAGGCUGACACAACAGGCAGAAGGCUCCAACACAAAGGGUUGAUGAUUUAUUUGCAUUUCUGCAAAAAUAAAAGUGAAGUGCAGUUAAUAACAGAUCUGUCUGAUGACAUUGUAAGUGGGAAAAGAAGAAACGUGAGUUUAACUCUUUAACAGAGGCAAAUCCUUAAGUUGAUUUUUAACUUCAAUUAGGGCACACAACAUUUCUAAGACACAGCUUUACAUAUGUUUUUAUUUCACUGUGAGGAAUACUAUAAAUCCAAUAAUAAAAGAUAAAUAUCAAAGGGGAUGUUCUGAGGAAAACUGGGGAAUAGUGUUCCAUGAUGUCCAGAUGUAACAAAAUCAUCUUGUACUUUCUUCUA